rnacentral:misc_RNA from 1 species
CUGGCUUGGAAGGGGCUGCACCUCCUGCUACCUUCUGUGGCUUCUUCUUAACUGCAGACUUAGAUGUCUUCUCUUCCUCCUCCUCACUGCUGGAGCUGUCUGAAUCAGAGCUGCUGUCCCUACUACCCUGAGGAGCCUGCUUGGCAGGCAGAGAUAGAGCUGCUUUGGCAGUCGCCUUGGGCUUAGUGGUGGCCACCAUCUUCUUUGUCUUCUCCUCCUCACUGGAGCUGCUCUCUUCCUCACUGGAGCUGCUGUCAGCCUUUCUCGUCAGAAGCUUCUGGCCACCGCCCACAGGUUGCUUGGGGGCUGCAGCUGGCUUCACUGCAGGUGACUUGGUGGUGACAGCUGGCUUAUUUGAAGAAUUCUUGGUGGUACCAGCUGGCUUAGAAG